rnacentral:rRNA from 1 species
GAGGAAAGCUGGCGGCGUGCCUAAUACAUGCAAGUCGAGCGAACAGACGAGGAGCUUGCUCCUUUGACGUUAGCGGCGGACGGGUGAGUAACACGUAGGUAACCUACCUAUAAGACUGGGAUAACUUCGGGAAACCGGAGCUAAUACCGGAUAAUAUUUCGAACCGCAUGGUUCGAUAGUGAAAGAUGGCUUUGCUAUCACUUAUAGAUGGACCUGCGCCGUAUUAGCUAGUUGGUAAGGUAACGGCUUACCAAGGCAACGAUACGUAGCCGACCUGAGAGGGUGAUCGGCCACACUGGAACUGAGACACGGUCCAGACUCCUACGGGAGGCAGCAGUAGGGAAUCUUCCGCAAUGGGCGAAAGCCUGACGGAGCAACGCCGCGUGAGUGAUGAAGGUCUUCGGAUCGUAAAACUCUGUUAUUAGGGAAGAACAAACGUGUAAGUAACUGUGCACGUCUUGACGGUACCUAAUCAGAAAGCCACGGCUAACUACGUG